rnacentral:rRNA from 1 species
UGUUUAUCAAAAACAUAUUCAUAAGAAAUUCCAAUUUAUGAUAAGCCCUGCCCAGUGAUACUUAUAAAUGGCUGCGGUAUCCUGACCGUACUAAGGUAGCAUAAUCACUUGUCUAAUAAUUAUAGUCUAGAAUGAAUGGGUAAACGAAUAAAUAACUGUCUACUGAAGUAUCCCUAAAAAUUAACCUUUAAGUGAAAAGGCUUAAAUAAUAAAGAAGGACAAGAAGACCCUAUAGAUCUUCCCUUUGUUUAUGAUACAAAAUCAUCUUCAAGAUUUGGAUGGGGCGUCCCGAGUACCACUUAAAUCACCACUCACAAAAUAUAGAUACACCACUCAACACACUAAACCUCAAAAUUGAAUUAAGAAAACUAAAGUUACCUUAGGGAUAACAGGCUAAUUCUUCUCUAGAGUCCAUAUUCACAGAAGAGCUUGGCACCUCGAUGUUGGCUUAGAAAUAUUCAUUGACGCAGCGGUCAAUAUUCCCAGUUUGUUCAACUGAUAAUAUUCUACGUGAUCUGAGUUCA